GAUGAACGCUAGCGAUAGGCUUAACACAUGCAAGUCGAGGGGCAGCGAGGGUAGCAAUACCUGUCGGCGACCGGCGCACGGGUGAGUAACGCGUAUGUAACCUGCCCGCAACAGGGGGAUAACCCGGCGAAAGUCGGACUAAUACCGCAUAAAACAGGGGUCCCGCAUGGGAAUAUUUGUUAAAGAUUUAUCGGUUGCGGAUGGGCAUGCGUACCAUUAGGUAGUUGGUGAGGUAACGGCUCACCAAGCCUUCGAUGGUUAGGGGUUCUGAGAGGAAGGUCCCCCACACUGGUACUGAGACACGGACCAGACUCCUACGGGAGGCAGCAGUGAGGAAUAUUGGUCAAUGGGCGAGAGCCUGAGCCAGCCAAGUCGCGUGAAGGAUGACUGCCCUAUGGGUUGUAAACUUCUUUUACAAGGGAAUAAAAUGAGAUACGUGUAUUUUAUUGCAUGUACCUUGGGAAUAAGCAUCGGCUAACUCCGUG
rnacentral:rRNA from 1 species